UCUCAACCCAACCCAUAUUUUGGC
rnacentral:miRNA from 1 species